UUUGAAAAGUAGCGCGCUCAGACCAGCUCGCUCACUCUUUUCCUCUUCCAUUUUUUAGGGCAAUUGUUUUGUUUGAUAGACGAAGCUUAGGGUCUCUUUGGGUUUGCAACCCUUACCCUCCUGGAAAAAAUCAUAGUUGCUAGACUGCGACACUUCAGACCAGGUACUAUUAGAGCCGCUAAUGGACGACGAGCUAUUUUCCGCUAUCCGGAGCUCAAGCAUUUGAGCCGCUAAAUGGACGAGACUCCUGGGGUAAAGGAUGCAGAGAAUGAGGAGAAAACACUCGUAUGGAGCAGGGAGUAGGUAUUGUACUACUUCCUGGUAUGGAGCACUGAGAAGCGCAUUAGGCGAUUUGAUCGCAGGACAAGAGAGGAGCUGAUGGACGAUCUCUCCAGUGUCCCUCUUGGUUCGGAGCAGCGCCGAGUGCUGACGUUGGGACUUGGAGUUCUGGCAUCCGUAGCUGCCUCAGGGGUGCCACUUCUCCCAUCAGCGUCGACUAGUCCGCCGAUCUCACUCAGCUCUGCUCUCCGAGCAUUCUGCUUCCAACACGACUUCCCGAAAGAAAAUGUGCUCGCGCAUUAGAAGGAGGUGAAAGAUGCACCUGCAGGAGAAUACAUGCUUAAUGCUGGCAAGUCAACAGAGGCGAGUACUGAUAAUGUUCCAGAUUGUGGUAGGAUCACAUAAGCAAAAUUGACACUGGGAGGCACGGCGGUGGGUCAGCUCAUGGCCAGCGCCAGCUCCAGUGGAUAUCACGUGCAUCCAGUUCUAGUACUAUAGUAUGACUGCUACAAAGUAGUGCGGCCCAAAUAGAACUCGGGUCAGGUGCCGAAGAACUGGGGGGGG